rnacentral:rRNA from 1 species
UACGAAGGGGGCUAGCGUUGCUCGGAAUCACUGGGCGUAAAGCGCACGUAGGCGGCUUUUUAAGUCAGGGGUGAAAUCCUGGAGCUCAACUCCAGAACUGCCUUUGAUACUGAGAAGCUUGAGUCCGGGAGAGGUGAGUGGAACUGCGAGUGUAGAGGUGAAAUUCGUAGAUAUUCGCAAGAACACCGGUGGCGAAGGCGGCCUUCUGGACAGUGACUGACGCUGAGACGCGAAAGCGUGGGGAGCAAACAGG